AUUGAACGCUGGCGGCAGGCCUAACACAUGCAAGUCGAGCGGAGCGGCGGACGGGUGAGUAAUGCCUAGGAAUCUGCCUGGUAGUGGGGGAUAACGUCCGGAAACGGUCGCUAAUACCCCCUACUAUCCUAUUACCCUCGGUCGUAUGAGCUAGUUGGUGGGGUAAAGGCCUACAAAGGCGACGAUCCGUAACUGGUCUGAGAGGAUGAUCAGUCACACUGGAACUGAGACACGGUCCAGACUCCUACGGGAGGCAGCAGUGGGGAAUAUUGGACAAUGGGCGAAAGCCUGAUCCAGCCAUGCCGCGUGUGUGAAGAAGGUCUUCGGAUUGUAAAGCACUUUAAGUUGGGAGGCGUUACCAAAAGAAUAAGCACCGGCUAACUUCGUGCCAGCAGCCGCGGUAAUAG
rnacentral:rRNA from 1 species